GGAAGAUUGCUAGACCGGUAAUAGGCUUGCUUGCUAAGCAAUGGCAGGGUAACACCUGAGAAGGUUCGAUUCCUUCAUCUUCCGCCA
rnacentral:tRNA from 1 species